rnacentral:snRNA from 1 species
UAAGUUCAUAUGACUAGUCAGAA